AGAAUCAACGCUGGCGGCGUGCCUAACACAUGCAAGUCGAACGAGAAAGUGGAGCAAUCCAUGAGUAAAGUGGCGCACGGGUGAGUAACACGUGACUAACCUACCCUUGAGUGGGGGAUAACCUAGGGAAACCUGGGCUAAUACCGCAUAAUACCUUCGGGUCAAAGGAGCAAUUCGCUUAAGGAGGGGGUCGCGGCCGAUUAGUUAGUUGGCGGGAUAAUGGCCCACCAAGACUGUGAUCGGUA
rnacentral:rRNA from 1 species